rnacentral:rRNA from 1 species
UGAGGAAUAUUGGUCAAUGGACGGAAGUCUGAACCAGCCAAGUAGCGUGCAGGAUGACGGCCCUAUGGGUUGUAAACUGCUUUUAUAUGGGAAUAAAGUGAGGGACGUGUCCCUUAUUGCAUGUACCAUAUGAAUAAGGACCGGCUAAUUCCGUGCCAGCAGCCGCGGUAAUACGGAAGGUCCAGGCGUUAUCCGGAUUUAUUGGGUUUAAAGGGAGCGUAGGCCGUUUGGUAAGCGUGUUGUGAAAUGUAGGAGCUCAACUUCUAGAUUGCAGCGCGAACUGUCAGACUUGAGUGCGCACAACGUAGGCGGAAUUCAUGGUGUAGCGGUGAAAUGCUUAGAUAUCAUGAAGAACUCCGAUUGCGAAGGCAGCUUACGGGAGCGCAACUGACGCUGAAGCUCGAAGGUGCGGGUAUCGAACAGG